UACGGAGGGGGCUAGCGUUGUUCGGAAAUACUGGGCGUAAAGCGAACGUAGGCGGCUUGGCAAGUCAGGGGUGAAAUCCCAGUGCUCAACACUGGAACUGCCUUUGAAACUGCCAGGCUUGAAUCCUGGAGAGGCGAGUGGAAUUCCGAGUGUAGAGGUGAAAUUCGUAGAUAUUCGGAAGAACACCAGUGGCGAAGGCGACUCGCUGGACAGGUAUUGACGCUGAGGUUCGAAAGCGUGGGGAGCGAACAGG
rnacentral:rRNA from 1 species